rnacentral:rRNA from 1 species
GUGUCAGCAGCCGCGGUAAUACGUAGGUGGCAAGCGUUGUCCGGAUUUACUGGGCGUAAAGCGCCCGCAGGCGGCUUGGCAAGUCUGAGGUGAAAUCUCCCGGCUCAACUGGGAGGGUGCCCCGGAAACUGCCAGGCUCGAGGCAGGGAGAGGGAUGUGGAAUUCCCGGUGUAGUGGUGAAAUGCGUAGAUAUCGGGAGGAACACCAGUGGCGAAGGCGGCAUCCUGGCCCUGUCCUGACGCUCAGGGGCGAAAGCGUGGGGAGCAAACCGGAUUAGAUACCCGGGUAGUCC